UCUCGCGACACUUCGGAGGAUCUUUCUGCGCCUCCGGCUCUCACCGGGAGCGCAGCCUCCGCGGGCGCACUGCUCUCCUCCGCUGGAGCGCUGAGGAGCCCGCGGUGUGGGGAUUGGGGCGCGGCCGCAGGCUCCGCCCGUCCGCCCCGCCCCGGCUUGGGAGGUAGGCUGCAGCGGCGAUGUGGCCCGGGCUCCCUCCGCGAGGGCUGAGAGCGCGAGCGGCGGUGUGGACGAGCGAGUCCAGAGCGAAAUGUCAUCGGGGGAAUCACACCAGGAGCAGCUGUCUCAGUCAGAUCCGUCCCCAUCCCCGAACUCUUGUAGUUCCUUCGAACUCAUAGACAUGGACGCCAGUAGUUCCUAUGAACCCGUUUCUCCACAUUGGUUUUAUUGUAAGGUACUAGAUUCCAAGGAGCUCUGGAUUCCUUUCAACUCUGAGGAUUCACAGCAGCUGGAAGACGCAUAUGGCUCUGGAAAAGAUUGUAAUGAGAGGAUUGUUCCCACCGAUGGGGGCAGAUAUGAUGUUCAUUUAGGGGAGCGGAUGCGGUAUGCUGUGUACUGGGACGAGCUGCCAUCGGAAGUGAGACGGUGUACGUGGUUUUACAAGGGAGACAAAGACAAUAAGUAUGUCCCCUACUCGGAGAGCUUCAGCCAAGUCUUGGAGGAUACGUACAUGCUUGCAGUAACUCUGGAUGAAUGGAAAAAAAAAAUAGAAUCUCCAAACAGAGAAAUUAUUGUAUUACACAACCCAAAGCUCAUGGUGCAUUACCAGCCAAUUGCAGGGUCUGAUGAAUGGGGUUCAACAUCCACUGAGCAAGGUCGGCCAAGAUCAGUAAAAAGAGGCGUCGAGAACAUCCCUGUUGAUAUUCACUGUGGGGAACCGUUACAAAUAGAUCACUUAGUGUUUGUAGUCCAUGGGAUUGGCCCAGCUUGCGAUCUUCGUUUUCGAAGCAUUGUUCAAUGUGUUAAUGAUUUUCGAAGUGUUUCCUUGAACCUGCUCCAAACACAUUUUAAGAAAGCCCAAGAAAAUGAGCAGAUCGGAAGGGUGGAGUUUCUUCCAGUCAACUGGCACAGUCCUUUGCAUUCUACUGGCGUGGACAUAGAUCUGCAGCGGAUAACCCUACCCAGUAUCAAUCGCCUCAGACACUUCACUAAUGAUACAAUUCUGGAUGUCUUCUUCUACAAUAGCCCCACCUACUGUCAGACUAUUGUGGACACAGUAGCUUCUGAAAUGAACCGAAUAUAUACACUUUUUCUGCAGAGGAACCCUGAUUUCAAAGGGGGUGUAUCCAUUGCUGGUCAUAGUUUAGGUUCGCUUAUAUUGUUUGAUAUCCUAACAAAUCAGAAAAAUUCUAUUGGGGAUAUUGACAGUGAAAAGGGUUCGUUGAGCUCUGCUGAGGAUCGAGGCGAUGCAUCAACAUUAGAAGAAGACUUGAAGAAGCUUCAACUCUCUGAGUUUGUCACUGUCUUUGAGAAGGAGAAAGUUGACAGAGAAGCUCUGGCUUUAUGUACAGACAGAGAUCUUCAGGAAAUGGGGAUUCCCUUAGGACCCAGAAAGAAGAUACUGAACCAUUUCAGUGCCAGGAAGAAUUCAGUGAGUAUUAAUAGACCAGCCAUGUCAGCCUCUGAGGUAAACAUCUCCAAGGAAAAUGGUGACUAUCUGGAUGUUGGCAUUGGGCAGGUGUCUGUAAAAUACCCCCGGCUCAACUACAAACCAGAGAUCUUCUUUGCCUUUGGCUCCCCCAUCGGAAUGUUUCUUACUGUCCGAGGGUUGAGAAGAAUUGAUCCUAAUUAUAAAUUUCCCACAUGCAAAGGUUUCUUCAAUAUUUACCAUCCAGUUCUAGGGAUCAGACUUAGUUCCCUUGCAGGUCAAGCACUGUAUUGCCUGAGCCAUCUCCCAGUCCACAACUGUACCUCUUUACAAAAUAAAUGUAAUUACUUUUAUCUCAGAUACAUAAUUCUUCACUCUGUCUUAUUAGGGAUGAAUAGUUAGCUGUUAUUUUCCUAUGCAGUUUGACCCUGUGGCAUAUAGGAUUGAGCCAAUGGUGGCCCCAGGAAUAGAGUUUGAGCCAAUGCUGAUCCCACACCAUAAAGGCAGGAAGCGGAUGCACUUAGGUGAGUCUGUUAAUAGACCUUGAUAAUUCUGGAUGUUCUGGUGAGUAUAAACUAAGUGGGCUGAAUUCUGUUCUUGUUUAACCUUGACAUAUCACAGAGUACUUUGUUCACUCACGUUUCAGAACUGAGAGAGGGCUUGACCAGGAUGAGUAUGGACCUGAAGAACAACUUGCUGGGGUCACUGAGGAUGGCCUGGAAGUCUUUCACCAGAGGCCCAUACCCUGCCUUACAAGCCUCAGAAACUGCAGAAGAAACUGAGGCAGAACCCGAAUCAAGUUCAGAAAAGUCCAAUGGUCAGUGACAGGACAUAGAAAUGACCCGAGGAGGGGUGCUGUGCUGUGGAGUUCUCUCCCAGGGCCUGCUUCCCUUCCCUUUAAUUAUGUAGGGUCUAUUCUGUGAGUCAUGGUUGACCUUGAGCUAUGCUAACCUUUCCUGCAUUUUAAUUGAUGAAAGUUAGGAUGAAACUUUUAUGUGAGGAGGAAAAUGUCAAGAGAAGCUAUUAACUACCCUCGAAACAUUUCCCACUUUGGAUUUUUAAAUAAUGUUAAAAGCCUACUCUGUUAGGCAUAGUGACACAACCCUUUAAUCCCACUGCUUAGGAGGCAGAGACAGAGGCAGGUGAUCUUUGUGAGUUUGAGGCCAGCCUGAUCUACAAAAUGAGUUUCAGGCUAGUCAAGGCUACAUAGAGACCCUAUCCCUAGAAGCAAAACAGAAUCCUACUGUUAAGUUUCUACUUAAAAAAAAAAAUUAUGUGUUUGUAUGAAUAGUGGAGGCCAGACGAGGGUACUGUAUCCCUGAUGCUGAAGGUACAUACAUUUGUGAGCUGCCCAACAUGGGUGCUAGGAACUAAACAUGUCCCUCUGGAAGAUGAGCAAGUGUACAAACCUGCCCAGCCAGCCUGCCAGCUCCUUUCCCUUUCCCUUCCCUUUCAACAGCAUUUGUCUUCACGCUUAUGUAUGUGUGCGCGCAUUCUUGAGUGUGUGUAUGUGUAUCAAGUGAGUUCCCGAUGCUGUCAGAGGCCAGAGUCACUGCGUCCCCUGGUAUUGGUGUCACAGGGGCUGUGCUCUCCUGAUGGAGGUGCGGGAAUUAAACCUGGGUCCUUUCAAGAACAGUAAGUAGUCAAUUGCUGAGCCAUUCUUACACUUUUUAUAAGGUGAAGUAAGUGUGUGUGUGUGUGUGUGUGUGUGUGUGUGUGUGUGUGUGUGUGAUCAGUUUCCAUUGCUGAGGACUAGCUAGGAUACUCAGAUUCCUACAGAGUCUUUCUCGAUUUGCAUUUAGUUUAUAAAAUUCAAGAUACCUGACUCAUGGAUGUACAGGUGACGAGAUGUGUUGAUCAGAAGAAGGAAUUGAACAAAAUUAGUGUGACUUGAGGAACUUAAAAAGUUGAGAGGAAGACAGAAGGGAGCUCUGAGCAGAGUACCUCAUUAUAAGGUAAACAUGGGGUCUGAGGGAGUGCAGGGUCUUUUAGAUGGGUGUGUUUGUCUGUAUGUGUAUGUGUGUCUGUCUGUGUGUACAUCUUCAUGGGCACAUAUACAUGUGUGCAAUGUGUGUAUGUGUGUUGGUACGCAUGCAUGUGCAGGCCAGAGUGUCUUCCUCCAUUUUUCUCCACCUUAGUUCAUUUAGACUAAGGUUUAUUUAUUAGAUUUAGUCAUUAGGGCCUUUCACUAAACCUGGAGCUCAUCACCUGGCUCCCAGUCCUCCUGCCUCUGCCUCCCUGGUGUUGGGAUUACAGCUCAUGCUGUCACCUCCAGCUUUCUGGUGGGUGUCUGGGUGUUGGUGAUAGGAGUGCAGUCCCUCGAGCUUGCAGAGUAAGCAGCUAGCCACCUCAGCAGAGUCAUUUCUCCAGUCCUGCACUUAGGCCCUUACAAUGGCCCUUCUGUAUCCAGAAGCCAACACGGAGGAGCCUCCUGUGGAAGUUAAAGAAGAGGCUCCCAUCAGUGUGGGCAUGCUGAAUGGAGGCCAGCGGAUUGACUACGUGCUACAAGAGAAGCCCAUUGAGAGUUUCAAUGAAUAUUUAUUUGCUUUACAAAGCCAUCUAUGCUACUGGGAAUCUGAAGAUACAGUAUUGCUGGUUCUCAAAGAGAUCUACCAAACCCAGGGUGUCUUCCUUGAUCAGCCUUUACAGUAAACAUGACCCAUCUGUGGCUGCUUAAUAUGGACACUGAGGGAGACUGUCCUGAAAACCCACACGCUUGCUGCUGCAGCUUCCUUCUCAGCUACCUUGUGUCCUGCAUGCUGCCUGCCUUACUCCAUGGGAUCUUCCCAAGAGAACCCUCUUUGGAGACUACUGGAAAGCGGAGGGGCACUCACUGUUCUGUAUGGACGCUCAGCAGGUUUUGUGGCUAGGGCGUUUACAUAUCCCAAUGCUUUAACAGCAGCACUUCCUUGUUUCUUACAUGGGAAUGAAUAUCUGUUUAGGGGGCUUGGGGGGGGUUACUCCUUAUCCUUACCAACACUACGGGUGGGAGUAUAAGAUGUAGAGGUACUUAGGGGUCCCGUCCCUCUGUGUGUUCUCUGUGCUGGAGGGCUGAGCAUCACUGCAUUUGGGAGAGCUGCUGGCUUUUGAGCCAGCUUUUCUUUCCUGGAUUAUAUGAAGAUCAGACAGAAGCUUACUAAUAGCACAGUUUGCUCUGAACACUGUUACGUGAGUGGAUUGUAGAACCACUGGUGCUGGUCCUGGUCCUGGUCCUUACAACUGCUUCAGCUUCUGCAACCCUGAAGGUUGUAUUAACUGUGUGCCUGCUCUUUUACACCGUAUUCCAAGCCAGCGGUGAAGUUGAGGACAUUACUAGGUAAUACUUAUUUUGAAGGUCAACCUGAAAUUACAUGGCCCUUCCCUGCUGUUCAUGUUGUAAAUGCAGUCUUUUAGUAGCACCGAUUUAAGUCACCUGCUCCUUCCACUUGAGUAAAGGAAGUAUGUGACAUAAAUGUCACAUUUUUUUUUUUUUUUUUUUUUGACACAGGGUUUCUCUGUGUAGCCCUGGUUGUCCUGGAACUCACUCUGUAGACCAGGCUGGCCUCAGAAAUCCGCCUGCCUCUGCCUCUGCCUCCCGAGUGCUGGGAUCAAAGGCGUGCGCCACCACGCCCGGCUGCGUCACUGCUUUCUGAGGUACCAUCAAAUUGUUUAUUACAGUUGGCAGUCAUGGAUUUGAGCAUGCAAGCUAGGCUACCUUCUGAAGGAAAACCCUGUCUACAGGGUCUGAGGAGCUGAAUCUGGAUAACUCAAGGCACAUUGAUCGUGAGGAAGGGUGACUGUACACUAAGUGUUCCCUUCCUUAGCAUGUGCCGUCAUCUUUGUCCUCCUCACGAUUGCCCUUUAGCUCCUCUGAUUUCCACAGGUCUCUAUAGAGUGGCAGGAGAGGUGAGCUGUGUUUUGGUUUUUUUCCUUGUUUUGUAAACCUAUCAUGGUAUCCAGAGGCACUGCACAUAACAUGCCCUGAAACCCUCAGAUGGCAGUGCCCUCUACAGACAGGCAAAGGGAGGGAAGCACUGUGCCCUGGACGUUAGAGAGGCAAGCAUGGUACGUCAGGCCCAGCCUGCCUUCCUGCUCAUGGGUAAUACUGGAUGAGCAAGCUACUAAGGAGUUCCAGGUAUAUGGAAUACUUUAUUUUUUCUACAAUAUGUCUUGAGUAAGAAUACCUGAGAAUUAAGUAGUAUAUUCAUUAAAUACUAAAAAGUAAGUUUUGUCAAUUGCUGUCUUGAGGUUUGUUUACUCUUGUUAGCAGAGUCAUUACUACUUAAGAGUAAACCAAAGUACAACCAAGAGUGCGUUCUUGUGACCAAAGAUGGGCAGCUUGGCCCUGGAGAGCUAGAUAAACCCCUGCACUGAGAAAGGCUUCUUCCCGCAGUCCGGUACUUACACGUGACCACGCUGAGUGUUAUACAAGGCAGUGUGGUGGCAAGGGACCUGGGUGUGGACCUGCACUGCGUCGUCUGUUAUCAUGCACAAUCUCCUGACCAAGGCUGUUUCUAAACUCCAGGGUGACAGCAUUCUGUCUGUGAUUCUGUCUGUGAUUCUGGCAGCACAGUUGGUGGGAGACUGUCUGCAAGGGACGAUGAGUAGCUCUGAUAACCUUGCUGAUAUUUUGCACUUUUGAAAUGUUUGUUUUAUAUGUGAUUAUAUUUAAGACGUUAGUAAAUGCCGAAAUAAAACUAUUGACCAUUUGCCUACA